AAGAACACGUAUGAGAGUAACUGUUCAUACGUUGUACGGUAGUUUAACCAGAAAGUCACGGCUAACUACGUGCCAGCAGCCGCGGUAAUACGUAGGUGGCAAGCGUUAUCCGGAUUUAUUGGGCGUAAAGAGAGUGCAGGCGGUUUUCUUAAGUCUGAUGUGAAAGCCUUCGGCUUAACCGGAGAAGUGCAUCGGAAACUGGAUAACUUGAGUGCAGAAGAGGGUAGUGGAACUCCAUGUGUAGCGGUGGAAUGCGUAGAUAUAUGGAAGAACACCAGUGGCGAAGGCGGCUACCUGGUCUGCAACUGACGCUGAGACUCGAAAGCAUGGGUAGCGAACAGGAUUAGAUACCCUGGUAG
rnacentral:rRNA from 1 species